rnacentral:rRNA from 1 species
UACGUAGGGUGCAAGCGUUGUCCGGAAUUAUUGGGCGUAAAGAGCUCGUAGGCGGUUUGUCGCGUCUGCUGUGAAAAUCCGAGGCUCAACCUCGGACCUGCAGUGGGUACGGGCAAACUAGAGUGCGGUAGGGGAGAUUGGAAUUCCUGGUGUAGCGGUGGAAUGCGCAGAUAUCAGGAGGAACACCAAUGGCGAAGGCAGAUCUCUGGGCCGUAACUGACGCUGAGGAGCGAAAGCGUGGGGAGCGAACAGGAUUAGAUACCCUGGUAGUCCACGCCGUAAACGGUGGGAACUAGAUGUGGGGUCCGUUCCACGGAUUCCGUGUCGCAGCUAACGCAUUAAGUUCCCCGCCUGGGGAGUACGGCCGCAAGGCUAAAACUCAAAGGAAUUGACGGGGGCCCGCACAAGCGGCGGAGCAUGCGGAUUAAUUCGAUGCAACGCGAAGAACCUUGCCAAGGCUUGACAUAUAGAGGAAAAGUGUAGAAAUACACUCCCCGCAAGGUCUCUAUACAGGUGGUGCAUGGUUGUCGUCAGCUCGUGUCGUGAGAUGUUGGGUUAAGUCCCGCAACGAGCGCAACCCUCGUCCUAUGUUGCCAGCACGUAAUGGUGGGAACUCAUGGGAUACUGCCGGGGUCAACUCGGAGGAAGGUGGGGAUGACGUCAAGUCAUCAUGCCCCUUAUGUCUUGGGCUUCACGCAUGCUACAAUGGCCGGUACAGAGGGCAGCAAUACCGCAAGGUGGAGCGAAUCCCACAAAGCCGGUCUCAGUUCGGAUUGAGGUCUGCAACUCGACCUCAUGAAGUUGGAGUCGCUAGUAAUCGUGGAUCAGCAACGCCACGGUGAAUACGUUCCCGGGCCU